rnacentral:rRNA from 1 species
AGUGAACGCUGGCGGUAGGCCUAACACAUGCAAGUCGAACGGCAGCACAGUAAGAGCUUGCUCUUACGGGUGGCGAGUGGCGGACGGGUGAGGAAUACAUCGGAAUCUACUUUUUCGUGGGGGAUAACGUAGGGAAACUUACGCUAAUACCGCAUACGACCUACGGGUGAAAGCAGGGGAUCUUCGCACCUUGCGCGAUUGAAUGAGCCGAUGUCGGAUUAGCUAGUUGGCGGGGUAAAGGCCCACCAAGGCGACGAUCCGUAGCUGGUCUGAGAGGAUGAUCGGCGACACUGGAACUGAGACACGGUCCAGACUCCUACGGGAGGCAGCAGUGGGGAAUAUUGGACAAUGGGCGCAAGCCUGAUCCAGCCAUACCGCGUGGGUGAAGAAGGCCUUCGGGUUGUAAAGCCCUUUUGUUGGGAAAGAAAAGCAGCAGGUUAAUACCCCGCUGUUCUGACGGUACCCAAAGAAUAAGCACCGGCUAACUUCGUG